UUAUGACCUGGGCUACAAACGUGAUACAAUGGCUGUUACAAAGGGUAGCUAAAGUGUAAGCUUCUGGCGAAUCUCAAAAAAGCAGUCUCAGUUCGGAUUGAAGUCUGCAACUCGACUUCAUGAAGUUGGAAUCGCUAGUAAUCGCGAAUCAGCAUGUCGCGGUGAAUACGUUCUCGGGGUUUGUACACACCGCCCGUCAAACCACGAAAGUUGGCAAUACCCCAAAAUGGUAGCCUAACUCGUUUAUUCGAGAGGGCGCUGUCUAAGGUAGGGUCGAUGAUUGGGGUUAAGCCGUAACAAGGUAUCCCUACCGGAAGGUGGGGAUGGAUCACCUCCUUU
rnacentral:rRNA from 1 species